rnacentral:rRNA from 1 species
AGUGAACGCUGGCGGCGUGCCUAAUACAUGCAAGUCGAACGGAGUGGCGCACGGGUGAGUAAUGUAUAUCUCAUCUGCCCUACACUAGAGGACAACAGUUGGAAACGGCUGCUAAUACUCUCUCGUGUCGGAUGCGGCUAUAUUGUCUCAGCUAGUUGGUGAGGUAAUGGCUCACCAAGGCUAUGACGCAUAACUGGUCUGAGAGGAUGAGCAGUCACACUCGAACUGAGACACGGGCCAGACUCCUACGGGAUGCAGCAGUAGGGAAUAUUGCUCAAUGGGGGAAACCCUGAAGCAGCAACGCCGCGUGGAGGAUGACACUUGUCGGAGCGUAAACUCCUUUUGUUAGGGAAGCGGUACCUAACGAAUAAGCACCGGCUAACUCCGUGCCAGCAGCCGCGGUAAUUC